AUGACGAGCUCCGCCUCCUCCUCCCCUUCCCGCAAGGUGCUGAGCAAGAUCGCGUGCCUCCGGCUGCAGAAGGAGCUCGGGGAGUGGCAGGCCAGCCCUCCCGGCGGCUUCACCUACAAGGUCUCCGACAACCUCCAGCGGCGAUAUGAAAAUCAUGAUGGGUGGCACGGCAACAGGUGGGUCAUCGAGGUGUCGGGGGCGGAGGGGACGCUCUACGCCGGCGAGACGUACCGGCUGCAGGUUGACUUCCCGGAGCAGUACCCCAUGGAGGCUCCACAGGUUAUAUUUAUGCAUCCGGCGCCGAUGCAUCCGCACAUUUACAGCAAUGGGCACAUCUGUCUAGAUAUAUUGUAUGACUCGUGGUCACCAGCAAUGACGGUCAGUUCCGUGUGCAUCAGCAUCUUGUCCAUGUUGUCAAGUUCACCAGCUAAGGAACGCCCAUCCGAUAACGAUCGCUACGUCAGGAACUGCCGCAACGGGAGGUCUCCGAAGGAGACGAGGUGGUGGUUUCAUGAUGACAAAGUGUGA
rnacentral:rRNA from 1 species